rnacentral:snoRNA from 1 species
CCCCUCUUAGGGCCAUAUCUGAAGAGUUUCCAGUACUCUACCAGUCUUGACAACAAGGAGGGAGAGUCAAGCAGAACCCUACCCAUUCCAUUCCUAGCUUGGGAAGUGGCUAGUGAGUGGAAGGCAAUCUGCUACAAGU